rnacentral:rRNA from 1 species
GACGAACGCUGGCGGCGUGCCUAAUACAUGCAAGUAGAACGCACAGUUUAUACCGUAGCUUGCUACACCAUAGACUGUGAGUUGCGAACGGGUGAGUAACGCGUAGGUAACCUGCCUGGUAGCGGGGGAUAACUAUUGGAAACGAUAGCUAAUACCGCAUAAUAUUAAUUAUUGCAUGAUAAUUAAUUGAAAGGUGCAAUUGCACCACUACCAGAUGGACCUGCGUUGUAUUAGCUAGUAGGUGAGGUAACGGCUCACCUAGGCGACGAUACAUAGCCGACCUGAGAGGGUGAUCGGCCACACUGGGACUGAGACACGGCCCAGACUCCUACGGGAGGCAGCAGUAGGGAAUCUUCGGCAAUGGACGAAAGUCUGACCGAGCAACGCCGCGUGAG